CAUAUAAUUUCAUUGUAUGUGCAGUACAACCCACUGCUCGACAUUAUCGUCGACGUGGACGGGGACUUCUUGAGGGACUAGAACCUGGAGAAGGACUGCGCAUACAUCUACAGCCCCCAGUACCGCACUCUCUUCGAGACUAUUCUGACACAUCGCACUCUUCGUGUCGCGCCUGCCGGCUCUGGCCUCAACACGGCACGCGUUGCUCAGUGGGUGUGGCAACACGUGCUUCAGAAGCCAGGGCGCGUCAUGUACGUGGGAUCCGUGGGCAAGGACAAGCACGGCGACCAAAUUUGCUCCGCCGCCGAGGCUGACGGCUUCACGAUGAAGCUCGAGGUGAGCAGCGGCAAGCGGAGCGGACUGUGCGCCGUGUGCAGGGACGGCAACUCUCGCACCCUUGCCGUCCACCCGUCGUCUGCCAGCUCCCUUAGCGACGACUUUGUGAACUCUGCUGCUGUUCAAGAAGGACAGCGCUCCGCAAAGACCAUAUACACGACUGCGUACGCCAACGUCUUUCGUGUCCGCCAGACCUUGCAACUGAUGACCAGCUCGCGUUGCCACACGCUACCUGAUGGGUCCAAGCAGCUAGCAGCUAUGGGCCUCUCAAACAAGCGCGUGCUCGACGACUUUGGCGAGGACCUCGUAGACGUGCUCGGAAAGCUCGACAUCAUCACAGGCAACCAGGAGGAGAUUCACGACCUUGCCAUGAUGCUGCAGUGGGUUCCAAGCGAGAUGUCCGACAUGGAGCUGGCCAAGAAGAUUGCGACGGAGACGAUGCCCGACCAGCACGGUGUGCGCCGUGUCAUCGUGACACAUGGGGUAGAGCCGAUCAUCUACGCCACCAGUGCGGGUGAGUCUGGUGAGGUUCCUGUGGUGGCCACCUGCGCCCACUAGGCAAAACUCAUGGCGACAGACGCAGGCGAUGCUUUCGCCGGUGGUUUCCUUGCCGCCAUGGCAGCCAAGCCGGAUGACUUGGCUUUCUGUUGCCGACUCGGCGCUCAGGCGGCAACGUUCGUGAUUAAUCACAGCCUCGUAACCUUGCGGACGGACGAGGCGAGUCUCGCGGAGCUGCAGGCGUGAUGCCAGGGUGAAGAUGCCGACUCACACGAAACAGAAGAUCAAAAUCGCACACGCUUGCCUCUGUUGGGUCACCACCCUCUCACAUGGUGGCACAGCGUCGUGCGCCAGCCGCAACUGCGCAAAAUCAGAGCCGUCAUGAUGCGCGUGCAUUCGUUUUGUGGUGCGACGCCCUUCUUGUUGCCCUGCCUUUCUUUUCUGCCUCCAAGGACACACACGAAAAAGUGGAGGAAAAAACGAAAUCGCGCGUGCCGCCUCAACCCUUC
rnacentral:misc_RNA from 1 species